ensembl:lncRNA
GGCAAACCAAGUAAUGAUGGAUUGGAGAGUGAUGAAAAGAUGAAGCUUCUGAAAAUGUGUGAGCAUCGAAGGCCAGGUGCUACAUUUUGAACGUCGGGGUCUGCUGCUGACCUUAAGUUACUGGGAGCUCUGAAACCGUUCCAGUUGCAUUGGUGCCUUGACUCAGCACUGUUUAGGCACAGAAUGCAGGACUUGCAGGCGGCAGCUGAGAGAGCGUUCACAAACAGCUGGUCACCACGAAGGCAUGCCGAGUGAUGAAGAACUGGCUCUGACAGAGGUGACUGAAUUCCAGAAGAGCAAAGGUUGGUCAGGAUAUGAGAG